AUGUUGCUAGGCAGAAUAUUUUCUUUUCCCAGUCAGGGGAAAGGUAACUGUAACGUAUUUGAACAAAUCAAAAUUACUGUGAUUCCUUGCAAGGGGUGGGACCAAUUUUAGACCUAAUCGGCCAGAACGUGCUGUUGGAGUUUACUAACGCAUCGACAACGCAGUGUACGGUUGGAGUUUACUAACGCAUCGACAACGCAGUGUACGGACAGAGAAAGUAUUGGAGUUUUUACAACAGCUUUAUUAUUGUUAUUAUCAAAAGAGAAAAUGGCUAAUCGUAAAACAUUUUCAUCCGAAGCAGCUUUGGCAAAACUUUUCGAAAGUGACCACGAGCUAUCUGGAGCCGAGAGCUUUUUCACGGAUGAAGAAGUGUUUCGUCAGGACUUGCAAGAUUCUUCUGAGGACUGUACUGAUAGUGAUGACCCUACAUUCACACCAAGGCGGCCAGGCACAACUACACAGGCUGCAGCUACAAAGAGCCAGCCAAGCACAUCUGCACCUGCAGCAGCACCUCAGCUUCCCCCAAGGAGAACACCUACAUCAAGGAGAACUCUUACCAAGUGCGCAGAGAGUCUACAGGGAGCAUUCAGAACCCCACUCGAAGGCGCUCCAGAUCACGCUCUCCUCUAGGGAUGUAACGAUAUCAAAAUCUCACGGUACGAUACAAUUUCGAUAUUGACCUCACGGUACGAUACAGCCUUUUAAAACUGGUAUUUAGGAACAUAACUUAAACUUAAAUAAAAUAGUCAGUCAAAAAGCCUUUUUAAAAAAACUGACCUAUCAUUUAGCUUAUGUUCACAUUUUUCAUCAGAUGGAUCAAAAUAUCUACAUUGCAAGGGAGAAGAAAAAAAACAGUAAAAAAAAAAACCUUAAACAGUCUGGCAAAAGCCUUCUGAAAAACACUUGUUUGUGUUUCCCGUGUUGUAUCGCAGUUUACUGUCUGUCCACCACCUUCUCUCCUUUUGCGUUUUUUGACACGGCGAAACCAAAAUGUUUCCAGACAUCUGAUUUAAAAGCUGCAGGGGCUGGUACAAUCUCAACUUCGGGGUUGUUGUUUUCAUCCUUACAAGUAUCGCUGUCGGCCAUGCUGGCUUGCUGUGAGCUUGUGUGGACAGCGUGCAAUCCUAUUGGCUUAACAAUGGUUGUUGUGACGACGCAGCGCAAAGGAUCAUGGUCUAUGUAGUUAACAAUGAUUUGUUCCGCGGGACUGUGUUUAUUCCUGAUGCUUUUUGACGGACACCUGUCCUUUUAAUAUUGUAACCCAACCACGACGAAAUCGAGACACGUUUACCAGCGCAAUAUCGUUACAUCCCUACUCUCCACACCACACAACACCUGAACAGCAUUAGAAAACCGAAAGAGAUCCAGAUGUGGCACCCAAUCACCCCCGAUUUGCCCCUGCCAGGCCUCCGGGAGUUCAGCUGGAUACAAGUCAAACAUACAGUCCUCUUGAUUUGUUCCUGCUGUUUUUCAGCAUAAGUGUUGUUCGACGGCUGUGCUGCAACAUCAAUAAACAAGCCAAAAAGAAUGGAAGACAAGCCACAUACCUGUGCCUAUUGCACCUUUGGACCCAGCAAACCCUGCAAACAGGCCUUCAGAUGUGAGGAGGUAUUGUGAGCUCUGCAAGAAAAGCAAAAACUAUAACAAGACCCCCUGGCAGUGUGGCGGAUGCCAGGUCCCCCUCUGCAACCUCUUGGAGAGGGCUUGCUUUACUCAGUGGCAUACCUGAGUCAUUUGACUGAAAAAAAAAACUAUUAGGACUGCUUGCACAAAAUGUUCAUUAUUGCAUUUUCUAUUUAUAUUUUAUUGUUGGAAUGCAUAUUUGUGUAAGAAAGUG
ensembl:lncRNA